UAGAGUUUGAUCAUGGCUCAGAAUGAACGCUGGCGGCGUGCAUAACACAUGCAAGUCGAACGAGAAACUCCGGGCUUGCUCGGGGGAGUAAAGUGGCGCACGGGUGAGUAACGCGUGGGUAACCUGCCCCUAAAUCUGGAAUAACUCGCCGAAAGGCGGACUAAUACCGGAUAUCGUCCCAGAGGCGCAUGUCUUUGGGAUAAAAGGUGACCUCUUCAUGAAAGUUGCCGUUUGGGGAGGGGCUCGCGUACCAUUAGCUAGUUGGUAGGGUAAUGGCCUACCAAGGCGACGAUGGUUAGCUGGUCUAAGAGGAUGAUCAGCCACACUGGAACUGGAACACGGUCCAGACUCCUACGGGAGGCAGCAGUGAGGAAUUUUGCGCAAUAGGGGAAACCCUGACGCAGCAACGCCGCGUGAGUGAAGAAGGCCUUCGGGUCGUAAAGCUCUGUCAAGUGGGAAAAA
rnacentral:rRNA from 1 species